UAUGGCCUUAUGGGACACGAGGCCUCACCGGAGAACUCGCCGGAGUUAGCUUUAGGGUUGGGAGUUGGGAGAUCUCUGAAGGGAGGGUCGUCACCGGAGGAUGAGCUGCGGCGGAGAUUGCAGCGGCCAUCGUGGUCGGGGCAACAGGCUACAUCGCGAAUCCGAGCACAUUUCCGAACGAUUUCUAAUGAGAAGAUCCAAAAACCAAGUGAGCUGUGAGAUUGCAACAUACCGAGUUGUCCAAUUUUCUGUCCACAAUGCAGGCUUGCUAGGUGAAACAAGGUAAUAAUGAACACUAACAAUUGGGUCUGGGGCAUCGUUUUGCUUGCACAUCAUCCAUGGAACACCUGUUUGGAGACUUACAGCCAUUUCAGCUGCCC